AACGAACGCUGGCGGCAUGCCUAACACAUGCAAGUCGAGCGACACCUUCGGGUCUAGUCUCGCACGGGUGCGUGAAGCGUGGGGACAUGCACUUAGACUCGGCAUAACGCCCCGGAAGGGAUGCUAAUACCGGAUCAUGUCUUCGGACCAAAGGUUUAUCGGCUUUGGAGGGGCCCGCGUUGGAUUAGCUAGGGAGUAGGGUAAAAGACUACCAAGGCGACGAUCCAUAACUGGUCUGAGAGGAAGGUCAGCGACACUGGGACUGAGACACGGCCCAGACUCCUGCGGGAGGCAGCAGUGGGGAAUAUUGCACAACGGGCGGAAGCCUGAUCCAGCACUGCCGGGUGAGUGAUGAAGGCAUUAGGGUUGUAAAGCGCUUUUACCUGGGCUGAUAAUGACAGUACCGGGAGAAUAAGCUCCGGCUAACUACGUG
rnacentral:rRNA from 1 species